rnacentral:rRNA from 1 species
UACGAAGGGGGCUAGCGUUGCUCGGAAUUACUGGGCGUAAAGCGCACGUAGGCGGCUUUGUAAGUUAGAGGUGAAAGCCCGGGGCUCAACUCCGGAAUUGCCUUUAAGACUGCAUCGCUAGAAUUGUGGAGAGGUAAGUGGAAUUCCGAGUGUAGAGGUGAAAUUCGUAGAUAUUCGGAAGAACACCAGUGGCGAAGGCGACUUACUGGACACAUAUUGACGCUGAGGUGCGAAAAGCGUGGGGGAGCAAACAGG